CUAAAAUUUCACAAAAUAGAUGCUGUUGCAAUAAAUCAGCCUACCUCUGCGUCGUGGACAAGUCCGGGGAAGGUCGUUGACAUUGUGCUUUCUCCAAAGUAGCCCCCUUUUUUUUUCCUCCGCUGUGUGGCCCGACCGAACAAUAAUAAUAAUAAUAAUAAAAAUGCCUUAAAAUCCUCAAAAAGCGAGAGAAGUGGAAAAGUCCCCCCUUUGCGCGCUCUCGGUAGCGGUGGAAAGCUGGCGGAACGCGAGCGUCUCCCCUCUGCACGGACGGGGCUGGCUCACGGAUUUUGUACUUGCAGGGUAUUUCUCGGCUGAUGUCGUAGGUCCCUUGGUAAUAUAGAAGUUUUGAAAAUUAAGCAUCAGCACUGAGGAAUGGGAGGACAAUAGACGGAGCGGAGCAUCCCAGGAGACAAGGAAUAAAUAUUGUAUCUUCGCCAUAACAAGGAACCAAGUGCUUCUUUCAACAUUUUCUACCCUUUUUGUGGACAUUUUCCCUUUUGAGCCGUUUGUAUUUUCACGAGUUCUUCUGCUCGGUUUCGUCGUGUUAUUUUAUUCUAUUUUAUUUAUUCACAACGGCUGUGUCGUUCUUACAAAAAAAAUAUGGAUUUUCAACGGAAAUGUCUUGGCACCGCGCCACAUGACUUGUGUGCAGCCACUGACAUGACUGACCGCUGUUCAAAUCCACUGGGACCGAAACCACCCUUCAGUUUCAUCGUCCACGUGUCUUUGCUUCUUUAGCAAAACACCAAGCUCCCCCUCUGUUAUGUUAAAAACCUUAUUUUACUUUUGUUGUUUGCAGUCAUAAAAAAGAAGGGGUUUCCCCAAUUUUGCUGUACUUAUCCCGACCAGCAGAGUGCGCCACUUUGGCAGUGCAGCCUGAGGGGAGAUUAACCUGCAGGUCUCUGAGUAAAAGGGAGGACACACACACACACACACAAAUUCAAAAACUCUCUCGCUGUGAAAGAAGUAUACACAUGCAAGGGUGCCGACGCAGGUUCAAUGACUUUGAUCGUGUAAUUCCUGCGUAAUCUCUGUAAUCUUUUAAAGCAGAGCUGUUUAAAUGUAUGUUGCAUGUGCGCAAUUGUGAGUGUGUGUGUGUGUGUGUGUGAGUGAAGAUGUGUGAAAUGUUCACUGGAUUAACAAGAUGAAGCAGAGGCCGGGAAUACAGCUAAAGAGAAAUCUUUAAGAAUCAAACGUUCUUUCAGAUUUCUGCUCAGACCAGCAGGCUGGAGUUGGAGGCUGCGCGUGUUGUGUUUAUGACACAAAGAAAUUCUCAUAUUCAGCUUGUUUAAAGAGUUCAUUCGGUGUCUUAUCCGUGGAGUGGGUGUGAGUUUUAUUUGGCAGCUGAACAGAUAUUUUCUACACUCUGCAGUCUUCACAUCAGGCAGCACACUUUGACCGACCUGUCAUUGUAAUUAUAAGGUUCUAUUGGAUGUAAGUCAGUGAUGAUACUUCUCUUUGUUGCAUGACAACAAUUGAAAAUCACAUGGAUGCGAGCAAAAUAAAUCACGAUCAUGAGAACUUUGAGUGUUUCUGUCUUUCGACCACAUACCAAACUGUAAAGUCCCAAUUCACCCCGUUCUUCACAUAUUACAAAUCAAUGUGACUGUUGGGCUUUGAUUAAAUCAAUUGUUGUUACGCUGUAAUGGGA
ensembl:lncRNA